rnacentral:rRNA from 1 species
AUUGAACGCUGGCGGCAGGCCUAACACAUGCAAGUCGAACGAGUGGCGGACGGGUGAGUAAUGUCUGGGAAACUGCCCGAUGGAGGGGGAUAACUACUGGAAACGGUAGCUAAUACCGCAUACCAUCGGAUGUGCCCAGAUGGGAUUAGCUAGUAGGUGGGGUAACGGCUCACCUAGGCGACGAUCCCUAGCUGGUCUGAGAGGAGGACCAGCCACACGGGAACUGAGACACGGUCCAGACUCCUACGGUAGGCAGCAUUGGGGAAUAUUGCACGAUGGGCUCGAGCCUGAUGCAGCCAUGCCUCUUGUAUGAAGAAGGCCUUCGGGUUGUAAAGUACUUUCAGCGAGGAGGCGUUACUCGCAGAAGAAGCACCGUCUAACUCCGUGCCAGCAGCCGCGGUAAUAC